CAUCCAAACUCCACACAGGCGGUCCCCAGAACUGUGAGGCGGAUGUGCUAACCAGUCGUGCACCAACUAUUUAUAUACAAGCAAUUUUAAAGUCCAUUUUCCAUAAUAUGUCCCUUUGAAUGUUAUAACACCCAACCAAUCAAAUGGACUUAGUUCCACAGGUGAGUAAUGGUAGCAUAUUUGUUGUCCAUGAAAACAAAUGGACGUUAAACUUUUCUUUUUCAGGUAUACGUAAUCUGACAGUUUAUGAAGCAGCAGGGAACAAGACAAUGUGAAAAGAUACUGUGAAAAUUCUACAUGAAACAGUAUCCAGCGAUAAAAUAUGUAAACAAAAGUAAGGGUUUUAACGUCAUAGUGGUGAAAAUCAACCGGCUCAACUCUUCUCAGGUUCAAAACUUGAACGACUCCUUGUUGAUGCAGGCAAAGGAAUAAAUAAACGUCUUCUGUCUCGAGAGACGUUUGUGAUAACGAGAAACACGCCGCAUGCCCAACUUUAUUCCCAUGAUUCUUUGUGCUGCUCUAAUGAAUAACAGACGGGCUCUCCCGCCGCAGUCGCCACACAAAAACCCUCCACUCGGCGCACAUGAGAGCUUAGCCCGCUCAUUAGGAGAGACGCAUGGAGAAUGGCAGCGAAUGGGUGAUGCGCGGCCUCACGUCGUCGUCCAUGGUCGUCGCUGAUUGGACGCAGAGGGCCAAAAGGAUGGCGGCGGCCGGGAGGCAGCGCGCGCCUGCCGCUGAUGCCCACAUGGUCCUCCUCCACACGGCAAGCAGAUUCUUCGCACAGAGGAGGAAUACUUUCUGGAUUAAAAGCCUGCUUGUUUUUUGCUGGUGUAUGUGAUCCGCACUAAGCAGUGGUCAUCUGUGGAGAGAACAGAGGGAAACGCUUUCUUUAAGUCUGAUCCAAGAACAUUGCAAAUUAAAGCUCAGCUAGAACAACACAUUCAGUUUGUGACAACAAAAAGAAAAAAUUGGCCAAAGAUUUUACUGCAAAGCUGAAAUUUAAAGAGAUUCUCAGUUUUUCGACUUCGCCAGUAAAAUUUGUUGGCUCACUGUCUCGUUUGCAAAACAUUUUUGUUGCCGCGAUGCCAAAAACAAAAGCGAGGCCACUCUUUGAGCACGCUGCCAAAGAACAACUCCAUCAAAAUGCAAGCAGCUGGCACUCGACGCACAAACAUCAUGCGGUAGCAUCACAAACCUUUGCCAUUUUUAAUCCCCCUGUAUCAAAUUAUACUUUCAUUAACAAUCAAAGAUGAUCAUGAGGAAGCUUGGCUCAACAUUUGUGGCUGUGUUGAGGAUUAAUGAAAGAACAGCGAGUCCAAAGACAACUCUGUAUUUGUAUAUAGAGACACAAUGAAACCACCUACUCAGUGACUUUUAUGGGCUUUUAGUGUGCAUCCACAUCUUUCCAGAAUAUUCCCUUUGCCCAUUUCUAUUCAUUGAUACAAACUAUCCAAGACAUAUCAGACCGGAUGGAUUUAAAUUCAAACUUUCAUUUAAAAAUUAAUCAUGCAGUGUGUCCAAGUGGUGUUCACGUACCACUUCCGCUAGUACAGCGACAAAAAUGGCCAACAAAAUCAUGAACCAAUCAGCACGCUCCUGCUAUAUGAGACUGCCAUGUACUGGAGAUACUAAUUGCAAUUUACUGUACAUUGCUUAGUACACUGUUCAUAAUGUUUUUCACGAUGCAAGCCGUUGUUUGGCCAUUUUUAUUUAUUUUUUGCUUUUACUUGUGAGCAAAACUUUG